GAUGAACGCUGGCGGCGUGCUUAACACAUGCAAGUCGAACGAAGCGCUUUACCGGAUUUCUUCGGAAUGAAAGUUUUGUGACUGAGUGGCGGACGGGUGAGUAACGCGUGGGUAACCUSCCUCAUACAGGGGGAUAACAGUUAGAAAUGACUGCUAAUWCCGCAUAAGACCACAGGACCGCAUGGCCCAGUGGUAAGAACUCCGGUGGUAUGAGAUGGACCCGCGUCUGAUUAGCUAGUUGGUAAGGUAACGGCUUACCAAGGCGACGAUCAGUAGCCGACCUGAGAGGGUGACCGGCCACAUUGGGACUGAGACACGGCCCAAACUCCUACGGGAGGCAGCAGUGGGGAAUAUUGCACAAUGGGGGAAACCCUGAUGCAGCGACGCCGCGUGAGCGAUGAAGUAUUUCGGUAUGUAAAGCUCUAUCAGCAGGGA
rnacentral:rRNA from 1 species